AUUGAACGCUGGCGGAAUGCUUUACACAUGCAAGUCGAACGGCAGCACGGACUUCGGUCUGGUGGCGAGUGGCGAACGGGUGAGUAAUGUAUCGGAACGUGCCCAGUCGUGGGGGAUAACGUAGUGAAAAUCACGCUAAUACCGCAUACGAUCUAUGGAUGAAAGCGGGGGAUCGCAAGACCUCGCUCGAUUGGAGCGGGCGAUAUCAGAUUAGGUAGUUGGUGGGGUAAAGGCCCACCAAGCCAACGAUCUGUACCUGGUCUGAGAGGACGACCAGCCACACUGGAACUGAGACACGGUCCAGACUCCUAAGGGAGGCAGCAGGGGGGAAUUUUGGACAAUGGGCGAAAGCCAGAUCCAGCCAUUCCGCGUGCAGGAUGAAGGCCCUCGGGUUGUAAACUGCUUUUGUACAGAACGAAAAGGUUUCUACUAAUACUAGGAGCUCAUGACGGUACUGUAAGAAUAAGCACCGGCUAACUACGUGCCAGCCGCCGCCGUAA
rnacentral:rRNA from 1 species